UGGGGAAUUUUCCGCAAUGGGGGCAACCCUGACGGAGCAACGCCGCGUGGGGGAGGAAUGUCUGUGGAUUGUAAACCCCUUUUCUCUGGGAAGAAGGACUGACGGUACCAGAGGAAUCAGCAUCGGCUAACUCCGUGCCAGCAGCCGCGGUAAGACGGAGGAUGCAAGCGUUAUCCGGAAUUAUUGGGCGUAAAGCGUCCGCAGGUGGCACUUCAAGUCUGCUGUCAAAGACCAGAGCUCAACUCUGGGCAGGCGGUGGAAACUGGGGAGCUAGAGUACGGUAGGGGUAGAGGGAAUUUCCAGUGUAGCGGUGAAAUGCGUAGAGAUUGGAAAGAACACCAGUGGCGAAGGCGCUCUACUGGACCUGUACUGACACUAAGGGACGAAAGCUAGGGGAGCGAAAGGGAUUAGAUACCCCCGUAGUCC
rnacentral:rRNA from 1 species